CCUAAAGCGUAUCGAUGUCCUUCUCCCCCAAAUCGAUUCAGCCUUAUCUGAGGUCUGGAAGCGGUUGUAGGCAACAACAAUUUGAUAUCUCCCCCAAUUUCGAAGCGGUGUCUCCGCCCAUUGCUGCCUCUCUCUGCCUCCCCUCUCUCUCAUAUCCCAGCUCCACUUCUCUGCCUCCCUCUCUCUCAUCUCCAAAUUGUUUUGGUUUAAUGGAGGACAGAGGAACUAGAUCUGUUUUCUCUCUCCUCCGACACCCACUUCCGGUCACCACCGUGACUCACCUCCACCAUCACAGACCUCACCGACCUCCGACGAGUUUAACGCUGCCUCGAGGAGUAAGUGUAGGUCAGGGAAUUUCGACAAGGCAUGGAGAAAUUUGUUUAAAACGUGGUGGCCGGAGCUAGCUUAAUCAGGUUGCAGAGCUAGCUUCGCUGCCCUCAUUUGAUGGGUGCCUUGGUGAAAUCAAGAUUUCAGACUCUUUAUUGGAAUUGAUAGGUUGUGAGGGUGACAUGGCUACUUCAACUUGUGAAUAUUCCAAACUAUAUCACCAUUGUCUACACUUUGGUUACUUUGUGCAGUAAGUUUGCAAUUUGAUGAGACCGUAGUCCCAUGUCCUUCCAAGAAUGGAGGACUGGGUCACAUAUUGAAAUUUUACUUCGUUAUCCAUUUGCAUAUGCAGACUUCAAUGU